rnacentral:rRNA from 1 species
UGGUGGAGUGAUUUGUCUGGUUAAUUCCGUUAACGAACGAGACCUCAGCCUGCUAAAUAGUUACGAGAACCUUCUACUCGGGUGAAGCUGGUAACGGGAGUGGUGGCUUCGGCUGUUGCUUCCUUGCCGGUGGAUCCUUGAUGAGUUCGCGGAUACACUUCUUAGAGGGACUAUUCGAAUCUAGCGAAUGGAAGUUUGAGGCAAUAACA